CCAGCAAUGUGUGCCUCUUAGGCCACACUGUUCUUGGCAGGCGUGUUUUUUUGGAAAUAGAAUGGCAAACUCAACGCUUGGUUACACUGCUGGUUUGGGGUGGGAGUUUCCACAAGGACUAGUGUGGCCCUAGCUUUGGUGUUCUGAUGCAGCACUGCAUUACCUUCUCUAGAAAUUCAUGCAUGUGGCAAGUGAACUCUGGGAAAUGCAAUGGAAUUCUGCUGAGAUGCUGAAUUGCCACCAGCAACUUUCCCCAGGUAUUUUACCUCUGCACGUUUAGGACUUCAGUCUAAAACUACAAUUUAUUUCCAAAAAAAUACUCUAAGAUGAGAACUGCCCUGGGGUGCUCUAGCUUAGCUUGCCAAUUUGGGUAGUCAUUUCAACAGUUCAAAAAAAAAUUUCAAAUUUUUUUUUUACAGUCCCCUCUCCUUGGUGAGACAUUGACAUUAGACAGGGUACUGGGAGAAACCUGCCUUCUGAGCCAGCAGAAUAGGCUUUAAAGAGCAAUUCCUUUAUGAAAUAUUCCAUUAAAUUUAAAUAACUUGUCUCUUUCCAUGUUCACUAGUGCUAGAGGCAUAGCAAUGUUCAAGUAAUAAGAAUUUUGGUGGGAACAGGAAAUUUUGAGCAUGAGAGAAAUGUCUAAUUUAUGGCUGCAAAUUUAUUGCAUUCGCAGUAAUUCUCAGGUCCAUAAAGCUGAGACAGAGCUGGGCAGAGGACAUGGCAGAAAGAAGUCACCUCUGGAAAGUUCUCAGCCAUUGAGCAUCCGUUGCCACCAAAGAUACAUUCUGAUGAUUACUAGUACACCAUGUGUGAUCCUUGCCACUGAUGUGGAUAUGGUUUUGUUGGUCACUCCUAGUCGCUCAGGAUCCUUCUGUUUUCCCAUGUGCCAAUGAAGACAAUGUCUGUAAGUAGAUAAUUAGGCUUAUCUGAGUGGUUGAGUGACAUUUAGUUAAUGCUGCUGAAGCAAUUUGUGAUUGUUUAAUGCUACUACUGUGUAAGAGCAGCAGUUUACCAUUGGGACAGGAACUCACCAUUUGCCCUUGUUAAUGCACACAGAAUGUAUAGAAAUGUGCAACAAGGUCAAAGUCGAUUGUGUCAUCUAUGAAAGCUUAUGAUUACAAGUAGCUCAAAUUAUCUUGUUGCCUUGUAAUGUAUUCCUGUCUGUAGAGUCCACUGCCCACCACACUCUGAGAUAUUUUUUCCCAUUUGAGAGGUGUAAUAAAAAGUAAGGUAGUAGAAGAAUGGUUGAGAUUUCUGAAUAUACUCAUAUCUGGAAAUGCAUAAUUCCAAGAUAUUUCACUUCUGAAAAGAAAUAAGUUUAACAAGUUUUACUGACUUCAGUUGGCUACAAUCACAUUGAAGACUGCUGGCCCAAACACCCUACAAAAUGCACCUCGGGAGGUAGCUCAGAUCCUUCUAUAACUGGAUUUGAAAUAUGUAUGUUGAACACAUUGAGGUUUUAGCAUAGCUUGGAACUAUACAAUGUUUCUUUGCUGAUGUGAUAUUAGCCUUGCUGAUCUGGUUAAACUCCAGUUAAUAAACCUGCCUGCUUAAGAUCAGCAUGAAGUUUGACUUCUGCAGAAUAUUUCACAUAUUGUGCCCUCAGCUGUUUAUUAUAUAGCACUUCAGAAAACAUUGUACCUUUAAACCCAAAAGGUCUUGGCCUUGGCCUUGUAUAUCAGCAAUGGCUGAUAGCCAGACAAAUAUUUAAUAAUCAGAUUGUUGACAACUUCAAAGUCCUCCAGGAUGAAAGUCAUCUUGUUAAGUCAGCCAUCCCUACUUUAUUUUAUGAUAUAUUUAACUUGUUUAAAGACACGGAACAUCAGAUUUCUGGUAAAGGCAUACAGAGAAAUAUUUCUUACAAAAUACAGCAUUAAUUCUAUAUGGAUCUUUGAUUUCCAUGUUCAGAAACUGCACAUAAAUGAUUCCACAGAAACAAGAAGUGACAAUAUAUGGUACUGCUCUGGGUUAUUUUAGCUCUGGCACAAGUUCUGAUGCUGGUAUGGGUUUGCUCAGUAACGGAAACAUGCACUGUUUAUUAACUUCACCGAGUACUGUGCUGGGCCCUAAAAGCACAUACUCUCUCCAUUCCCCAUUUCUAUCUCAUGAAGAGCUCAUGAAACCUUAUUGUCAGGUGUUGUUCCUAUUUGUCUUACUGAAGUGGGCACAAUAAAGAAAAUUCCAUGUGUAGUUCUUGAUCAGCUUCCAGUUUCACUCUUUGCAGUCUGUAACUCAUAUUUAAGCUGGUAUUAGUGAUCAGCUGUUCUAUUAACAAAUAAACCUGUUUACAUUACUAUUUCUGUUA